rnacentral:tRNA from 1 species
GUCCCCAUCGUCUAGAGGUCCAGGACACUGCCCUUUCACGGCAGUAACAGGGGUUCAAAUCCCCUUGGGGACACCA